AGAACGUGUGUUCGACAUCUUGGCUUUGGCUUGACUGUCUCCUAUCAAGGUUCACAAGGCAGACGCUCAUAACGUACUUGAUGAUGCGAGAGCUCUAAGAGAUGAAGUCUCGUGUGAGGUCAUAUUUCAGAGUAAAAUCUUCUGCUCAGAGUUGAUAAAACUGGACAGUGAAUGGGAAGAGUGACAGAAAAGGAAAUGCUACAAAUUGUACUGGUGAAUGUGUUGAACUUGGAGAAGGAAGCAGCAUCUGUUCCAGAAAUAUCUACCAGUUAAGACCCAAGAAGUCAUAUAUACCUAAUCCUGCAGAUCACAUCCAUCCAACAGGAGGGGCUGAAAAGAAAAGGACAGUCUUCCAUCUGCUUGGCCAUCUGUUUCAGAAGACCUAUUCCUGAUUUAGUGCCAUUGGGUUUUUGUUGCUUUACAAAAUGAUCAGCAUCACCAAAGACCCCAAAUAAAAGCAUAUGAUAACAUCA